GAGUAGCGAGAAGCAUCCGGUCCAAAGCUCCGAGGUAUUGCAUGAUUGAAGGAGUUUUAUUUCGUAGAAGCCUCACACUUUCAUACCUCAGAUGCCUUAGGCCUUCCGAAUUAUCUCAGGCCCUAGAAGAAGUUCAUGAAAGAGUAUGUGGGAACCAUCAAGGAGCUCGGGCAUUAGCCUUCAAGCUUAUAAGGUAUGGAUAUUAUUGGCCAACCAUGAAAAAAGACGCCCAGGAAUAUGUCAAAAAGUGUGACAAGUGCUAAAGAUUUGGCAAUGUCAUCCACCCUCCCGCAGAGGACCUCACUAACAUUAGUUGCACAGCCCCAUUUGAGAAGUGGGGAAUUGACAUCCUCGAUCCCUUUCCAAUAAGUAGGGGACAAUUGAAGUUUGUGGCUGUGGCUGUAGAGUAUUUCACUAAGUGGGUGGAGGCCGAGCCUUUAGCAACAAUUUCAGAGCCGAAGUUAAGAAGUUUCAUUUGGAGAUCUAUCAUAUGCAAGUUCGGAAUAUCGAAAGUCCUCAUAACUGAUAAUGGCAGGCAAUUCGACAAUGCACAAUUUAAAAGAUUUUGUUCCAACCUAGGGGUUGAUCACCGUUUGACAUCGGUUUCCCAUCCUCAAAGUAAUGGUCUCGCCGAAGUGACCAAUCGGAUUAUAUUGCAAGACCUCCGUACAAGGAUCGGGGAUGCAAGAGGUUCCUGGUCUGACGAGUUACCUUCCAUACUUUGGACGUAUAGAACAUCCCACAGAACUGCUAUGGGGGAAACCCCUUUCAUGUUGGCUUUUGGUAUUGAGGCCACUAUCCUUGUUGAAGUCAGGUUGCCCAGCCAAAGGAGGCUCGAGCCGAAGAUGCAGGGCGCACCACUGAACACCUCGACCUCUUGGAAGAAGUUCGUGAUCAGGCAACUUUAAGAAUGGCCUCCUACCAAGAUAAAACAGCAAAGCACUUCAAUAAAAAAGUGAGGGCGCGGAGAUUCAGAGCCGAAGACCUUGUGUUAAGAAGGGCCGAAGCAGCAGGUCAUGCCCCGAGCAAGCUAGAACCAGUUUGGGAAGGGCCCUUUGAAGUCAUACGACAACUCCAAGAAGGCGCAUACAGUUUAAAUGAUACAUCAGGAAGACCACUUCCAAAACCAUGGAACGCCGAG
rnacentral:lncRNA from 1 species